UACGGAGGAUGCAAGCGUUAUCCGGAAUGAUUGGGCGUAAAGGGUCCGCAGGUGGCAGUGUAAGUCUGCUGUCAAAGAUUGAGGCUUAACCUCAUCAAGGCAGUGGAAACUACACAGCUAGAGUACGGUCGGGGUAGAAGGAAUUCCUGGUGUAGCGGUGAAAUGCGUAGAGAUCAGGAAGAACACCGGUGGCGAAAGCGUUCUGCUAGACCUGUACUGACGCUGAGGGACGAAAGCUAGGGGAGCGAAUGGG
rnacentral:rRNA from 1 species